rnacentral:misc_RNA from 1 species
UCCGACUUGACGUCGGCAGUCUCGUUAGAGUGCCCCACUUAAGGCUGGCAACUAACGACAGAGGUUGCGCUCGUUGCGGGACUUAACCCAACAUCUCACGACACGAGCUGACGACAGCCAUGCAGCACCGUCUCACUAGUUCCCCGAAAGGCACCCCUACAUCUCUGUAAGGUUCUAGUGGAUUUAACCCAGGUAAGGUUCUGCGCGUUGCGUCGAAUUGAACCACAUGCUCCACCGCUUGUGCGGGCCCCCGUCAAUUCCUUUGAGUUUCAACCUUGCGGUCGUACUCCCCAGGCGGGGUACUUCCUGCGUUAGCGCCGGCACCCAGAGGGUCGCUCCCCCAGGCACCUAGUACCCAUCGUUUACGGCGUGGACUAC